rnacentral:pre_miRNA from 1 species
AGAGGGAUAGCUGGGUCAAAUGGUGAUUUUAUUCCAAGAUUUCCAAGGAAUCUCCAUACUGCUUUCCAUAUUGGCUGCACCAAUUUGCAGUCCCACCAGCAGU